rnacentral:rRNA from 1 species
CGCCACGCCCGCUCAAGAAACUACAAAGGACUAGUUGGACGGGGGCCCCGCACAAGCGGUGGAGUAUGUGGUUUAAUUCGAUGCAACGCGAAGAACCUUACCUGGUCUUGACAUCCCGGAGACCCUUAGGAAACUAGGGGGUGCUUCCAUCUGGAAGAAUCUGGAGACAGGUGCUGCAUGGCUGUCGUCAGCUCGUGUCGUGAGAUGUUGGGUUAAGUCCCGCAACGAGCGCAACCCUUGCCUUUAGUUGCCAGCAGUUCGGCUGGGCACUCUAAAGGGACUGCCGGUGUUAAACCGGAGGAAGGUGGGGAUGACGUCAAGUCAGCAUGGCCCUUACGUCCGGGGCUACACACGUGCUACAAUGGCCGGUACAAAGGGUUGCGAAGCCGUGAGGUGGAGCGAAUCUCAAAAAGCCGGCCUCAGUUCGGAUUGGAGGCUGCAACUCGCCUCCAUGAAGUCGGAAUCGCUAGUAACCGCAGAUCAGCUACGUUGCGGUGAAUACGUUCCCGGGCCUU